AGAUUGAACGCUGGCGGCAGGCCUAACACAUGCAAGUCGAGCGGUAGAGAGGUGCUUGCACCUCUUGAGAGCGGGCGGACGGGUGAGUAAUGCCUAGGAAUCUGCCUAGUGGUGGGGGAUAACGUUCGGAAACGGACGCUAAUACCGCAUACGUCCUACGGGAGAAAGCGGGGGACCUUCGGGCCUCGCGCCAUUAGAUGAGCCUAGGUCGGAUUAGCUAGUUGGUGAGGUAAUGGCUCACCAAGGCGACGAUCCGUAACUGGUCUGAGAGGAUGAUCAGUCACACUGGAACUGAGACACGGUCCAGACUCCGUACGGGAGCAGCAGGUGGGAAUAUUGGACAAGUGGGACGAAAGCCUAGACUCCAGCCAUCGCCGCGUGUGUAGGAAG
rnacentral:rRNA from 1 species